GCGUGUGUCCUGGUGACACAUCUGAACAUCGAUCGCUGUUUAUUUCGGCGGAUCUGUUUGGUUUGGUGUCCCUCUUUAAACAUAAUCCGCAUUAUAUGGAACUCCCGCUGCCUCGUCGCACGGUUGAGAUCUGUUUAAAUUGGCCUCUCGUUUAGGCCCUGGGUAUAAAAAGUUAACAUUCGACUUCUAAAGUUUCUAAAAAAAUUGGGAAGUUGGGGUUAUUCUUCGUAACACAUUUCUGACGCUCUAGAACGGCUCUACAUGUGGUAGACUGCCAGACCUU
rnacentral:snRNA from 1 species